UUAAGUUAUUAAGGGCGCACGGUGGAUGCCUUGGCACUAGAAGCCGAUGAAGGACGUUACUAACGACGAUAUGCUUUGGGGAGCUGUAAGUAAGCUUUGAUCCAGAGAUUUCCGAAUGGGGAAACCCAGCAUGAGUUAUGUCAUGUUAUCGAUAUGUGAAUACAUAGCAUAUCAGAAGGCACACCCGGAGAACUGAAACAUCUUAGUACCCGGAGGAAGAGAAAGAAAAUUCGAUUCCCUUAGUAGCGGCGAGCGAAACGGGAAGAGCCCAAACCAACAAGCUUGCUUGUUGGGGUUGUAGGACACUCUAUACGGAGUUACAAAGGACGACAUUAGACGAAUCAUCUGGAAAGAUGAAUCAAAGAAGGUAAUAAUCCUGUAGUCGAAAAUGUUGUCUCUCUUGAGUGGAUCCUGAGUACGACGGAGCACGUGAAAUUCCGUCGGAAUCUGGGAGGACCAUCUCCUAAGGCUAAAUACUCUCUAGUGACCGAUAGUGAACCAGUACCGUGAGGGAAAGGUGAAAAGCACCCCGGAAGGGGAGUGAAAUAGAACCUGAAACCGUGUGCUUACAAGUAGUCAGAGCCCGUUAAUGGGUGAUGGCGUGCCUUUUGUAGAAUGAACCGGCGAGUUACGAUUUGAUGCAAGGUUAAGCAGUAAAUGUGGAGCCGUAGCGAAAGCGAGUCUGAAUAGGGCGUUUAGUAUUUGGUCGUAGACCCGAAACCAGGUGAUCUACCCUUGGUCAGGUUGAAGUUCAGGUAACACUGAAUGGAGGACCGAACCGACUUACGUUGAAAAGUGAGCGGAUGAACUGAGGGUAGCGGAGAAAUUCCAAUCGAACCUGGAGAUAGCUGGUUCUCUCCGAAAUAGCUUUAGGGCUAGCCUCAAGUGAUGAUUAUUGGAGGUAGAGCACUGUUUGGACGAGGGGCCCCUCUCGGGUUACCGAAUUCAGACAAACUCCGAAUGCCAAUUAAUUUAACUUGGGAGUCAGAACAUGGGUGAUAAGGUCCGUGUUCGAAAGGGAAACAGCCCAGACCACCAGCUAAGGUCCCAAAAUAUAUGUUAAGUGGAAAAGGAUGUGGCGUUGCCCAGACAACUAGGAUGUUGGCUUAGAAGCAGCCAUCAUUUAAAGAGUGCGUAAUAGCUCACUAGUCGAGUGACACUGCGCCGAAAAUGUACCGGGGCUAAACAUAUUACCGAAGCUGUGGAUUGUCCUUUGGACAAUGGUAGGAGAGCGUUCUAAGGGCGUUGAAGCAUGAUCGUAAGGACAUGUGGAGCGCUUAGAAGUGAGAAUGCCGGUGUGAGUAGCGAAAGACGGGUGAGAAUCCCGUCCACCGAUUGACUAAGGUUUCCAGAGGAAGGCUCGUCCGCUCUGGGUUAGUCGGGUCCUAAGCUGAGGCCGACAGGCGUAGGCGAUGGAUAACAGGUUGAUAUUCCUGUACCACCUAUAAUCGUUUUAAUCGAUGGGGGGACGCAGUAGGAUAGGCGAAGCGUGCGAUUGGAUUGCACGUCUAAGCAGUAAGGCUGAGUAUUAGGCAAAUCCGGUACUCGUUAAGGCUGAGCUGUGAUGGGGAGAAGACAUUGAGUCUUCGAGUCGUUGAUUUCACACUGCCGAGAAAAGCCUCUAGAUAGAAAAUAGGUGCCCGUACCGCAAACCGACACAGGUAGUCAAGAUGAGAAUUCUAAGGUGAGCGAGCGAACUCUCGUUAAGGAACUCGGCAAAAUGACCCCGUAACUUCGGGAGAAGGGGUGCUCUUUAGGGUUAACGCCCAGAAGAGCCGCAGUGAAUAGGCCCAAGCGACUGUUUAUCAAAAACACAGGUCUCUGCUAAACCGUAAGGUGAUGUAUAGGGGCUGACGCCUGCCCGGUGCUGGAAGGUUAAGAGGAGUGGUUAGCUUCUGCGAAGCUACGAAUCGAAGCCCCAGUAAACGGCGGCCGUAACUAUAACGGUCCUAAGGUAGCGAAAUUCCUUGUCGGGUAAGUUCCGACCCGCACGAAAGGCGUAACGAUUUGGGCACUGUCUCAACGAGAGACUCGGUGAAAUCAUAGUACCUGUGAAGAUCCAGGUUACCCGCGACAGGACGGAAAGACCCCGUGGAGCUUUACUGUAGCCUGAUAUUGAAAUUCGGCACAGCUUGUACAGGAUAGGUAGGAGCCUUUGAAACGUGAGCGCUAGCUUACGUGGAGGCGCUGGUGGGAUACUACCCUAGCUGUGUUGGCUUUCUAACCCGCACCACUUAUCGUGGUGGGAGACAGUGUCAAGCGGGCAGUUUGACUGGGGCGGUCGCCUCCUAAAAGGUAACGGAGGCGCUCAAAGGUUCCCUCAGAAUGGUUGGAAAUCAUUCAUAGAGUGUAAAGGCAUAA
rnacentral:rRNA from 1 species